rnacentral:rRNA from 1 species
GACGAACGCUGGCGGCGUGCUUAGCACAUGCAAGUCGAACGGAAAGGCCCUGCUCUUGUGGGGUGCUCGAGUGGCGAACGGGUGAGUAACACGUGAGUAACCUGCCCUUGACUUUGGGAUAACUUCAGGAAACUGGGGCUAAUACCGGAUAGGAGCUCCUGCUGCAUGGUGGGGGUUGGAAAGUUUCGGCGGUUGGGGAUGGACUCGCGGCUUAUCAGCUUGUUGGUGGGGUAGUGGCUUACCAAGGCUUUGACGGGUAGCCGGCCUGAGAGGGUGACCGGCCACAUUGGGACUGAGAUACGGCCCAGACUCCUACGGGAGGCAGCAGUGGGGAAUAUUGCACAAUGGGCGGAAGCCUGAUGCAGCAACGCCGCGUGCGGGAUGACGGCCUUCGGGUUGUAAACCGCUUUCGCCUGUGACGAAGCGUGAGUGACGGUAAUGGGUAAAGAAGCACCGGCUAACUACGUG